rnacentral:rRNA from 1 species
UACGAGAGGCCCAAACGUUAUUCGGAUUUACUGGGCUUAAAGAGUUCGUAGGCGGUGCAGAAAGUGGGGUGUGAAGGCCCUCGGCUCAACCGAGGAAUUGUGCUCCAAACUACUGUACUCGAGGAAGCUAGAGGUGAGCAGAACAGAUGGUGGAGCGGUGAAAUGCGUAGAUAUCGUAAGGAAGACCAGUGGCGAAGGCGGGUCUCUGGACAGUUCCUGACGCUGAGGCACGAAGGCCAGGGGAGCAAACGGG